rnacentral:lncRNA from 1 species
AGCGGCGGCGGCGCGUCCGCGGGCGGCGGGAGCUUCGCAUGCGCGGAGCGAGGCCCGAUGUCGUCGGAGGAGAACAAGUGCGUGGAGCAGCCGCAGCCACCACCCCCCGAGGAGCCUGGAGCCCCGGCCCCGAGCCCCCCAGCCGCAGACAAAAGACCUCGGGGCCGGCCUCGCAAGGCGCUUCCCCUUUCCAGAGAGCCAGAAAGAACAGCAAGAUUAAGAAAAUUGUGCAUUCAAUUAUAUCAUCCUUUGCAUUUGGACUAUUUGGAGUUUUCCUGGUCUUACUGGAUGUCACUCUCGUCCUUGCCGACCUAAUUUUCACUGACAGCAAACUUUAUAUUCCUUCGGAGUAUCGUUCUAUUUCUCUAGCUAUUGCCUUAUUUUUUCUCAUGGAUGUUCUUCUUCGAGUAUUUGUAGAAGGAAGCACACACAAUAAGAAAAGAUCUUCCCCCGCAAAAGGAUCACAGUUUGUCUCCCUGCCAGGGAGGUGAGGAA